AACGAACGCUGGCGGCAGGCUUAACACAUGCAAGUCGAGCGCCCCGCAAGGGGAGCGGCAGACGGGUGAGUAACGCGUGGGAACGUACCUUUUGGUUCGGAACAACUCGGGAAACUGGAGCUAAUACCGGAUAAGCCCUAACGGGGAAAGAUUUAUCGCCGAAAGAUCGGCCCGCGUCUGAUUAGCUAGUUGGUGAGGUAACGGCUCACCAAGGCGACGAUCAGUAGCUGGUCUGAGAGGAUGAUCAGCCACACUGGGACUGAGACACGGCCCAGACUCCUACGGGAGGCAGCAGUGGGGAAUAUUGGACAAUGGGCGCAAGCCUGAUCCAGCCAUGCCGCGUGAGUGAUGAAGGCCUUAGGGUUGUAAAGCUCUUUUGUCCGGGAAGAUAAUGACUGUACCGGAAGAAUAAGCCCCGGCUAACUUCGUG
rnacentral:rRNA from 1 species